AUUGAACGCUGGCGGCAUGCUUUACACAUGCAAGUCGAACGGCAGCGCGGGCUUCGGCCUGGCCGCGAGUGGCGAACGGGUGUGUAAUGCAUCGGAACGCGCCCACGAGUGGGGGAUCGCCCGGCAAAAGCCGGUUUAAUACCACAUACGACCUGGGGGUGAAAGCGGGGGCCCGAAAGGCCUCGCGCUAUUGGAGCGGCCGAUGUCGGAUUAGCUAGUUGGUGGGGUAAAGGCUUACCAAGGCGACGAUCCGUAGCUGGUCUGAGAGGACGACCAGCCACACUGGGACUGAGACACGGCCCAGACUCCUACGGGAGGCAGCAGUGGGGAAUUUUGGACAAUGGGGGCAACCCUGAUCCAGCCAUGCCGCGUGCGGGAAGAAGGCCUUCGGGUUGUAAACCGCUUUUGUUCGGGAAGAAAUCCUUUGGGCUAAUACCCCGGGGGGAUGACGGUACCGGAAGAAUAAGCACCGGCUAACUACGUG
rnacentral:rRNA from 1 species